UACGAAGGGGGCGAGCGUUGUUCGGAUUUACUGGGCGUAAAGGGUGCGUAGGCGGGUCUUUAAGUCAGGGGUGAAAUCCUGGAGCUCAACUCCAGAACUGCCUUUGAUACUGAAGAUCUUGAGUUCGGGAGAGGUGAGUGGAACUGCGAGUGUAGAGGUGAAAUUCGUAGAUAUUCGCAAGAACACCAGUGGCGAAGGCGGCUCACUGGACCGGUAUUGACGCUGAGGUGCGAAAGCGUGGGGAGCAAACAGG
rnacentral:rRNA from 1 species